UGUGUGAACCUGUGUGUAUUCUAAUAGGUGAACCUGUGUCUAUUCUAAUGUGUGAACCUGUGUGUAUUCUAAUAUGUGAACCUGUGUGUAUUCUAAUAGGUGAACCUGUGUGUAUUCUAAUAUGUGAACCUGUGUGUAUUCUAAUAUGUGAACCUGUGUGUAUCUCCUUAACAGCAGGGGGGCUCUGACUUUGUCCCGGUGGUGGUGAGUCGCUCCGUGCUGAGGUCUAUGAGCAGGAGGGAUGUCUUGAUUAAACGCUGGCCCAAACCCCUGCAGUGGGAGUACUACCGUUCCUUACUGCCUGAUGUCAGCAUCACCAUGUGCCCCUCCUGCUUCCAGAUGUUCCACAGUGAAGACUAUGAGCUGCUUGUGCUUCAGCACAACUGCUGUCCCUACUGCCGUCGGCCCAUCGAUGAACCCAACUGACCUCCCCAAACUGGUCUAGAAUCAAUUCAUCCAUCUCACAAUUAUUCACAUCUUCAGUUUCACUCUUGCUCUCCUGAGUAAUGUUCCGCCCAUAUAAUGGCAGAAAACCUCAUGGACGUUAUUUCAGGGAUGUGAUUAUGAAGAUCAUUAUAGUCCGCAGCAAAAGUGAAUCCUCAGAUGAACAACCCCAUAGAAUGAACAGGAUGAGGUCACACAGUGAACCACCAAUGAACUCUUCUGUCUAGAAAAACGUGUUAAAAAAACGUAUUUCAAUUCACUGGUAUUUAUUGCUCCUGUUAUAUGAUGUGUACUUUGACUCUCUAGCAUUCUUAAAGAGUUGAAUGUAUUGUAUUUUUAUAUUAUUAAAGUCAAAUGUUGUUUUUUUAAAUGAAAGGUUUCAAAUUCUCCACUUG